rnacentral:rRNA from 1 species
GACGAACGCUGGCGGCGUGCUUAACACAUGCAAGUCGAACGGAAAGGCCCUGCUUUUGUGGGGUGCUCGAGUGGCGAACGGGUGAGUAACACGUGAGUAACCUGCCCUUGACUUUGGGAUAACUUCAGGAAACUGGGGCUAAUACCGGAUAGGAGCUCCUGCAGCAUGGUGGGGGUUGGAAAGUUUCGGCGGUUGGGGAUGGACUCGCGGCUUAUCAGCUUGUUGGUGGGGUAGUGGCUUACCAAGGCUUUGACGGGUAGCCGGCCUGAGAGGGUGACCGGCCACAGUGGGACUGAGAUACGGCCCAGACGCCUACGGGAGGCAGCAGUGGGGAAUAUUGCACAAUGGGCGGAAGCCUGAUGCAGCAACGCCGCGUGCGGGAUGACGGCCUUCGGGUUGUAAACCGCUUUCGCCUGUGACGAAGCGUGAGUGACGGUAAUGGGUAAAGAAGCACCGGCUAACUACGU